GAUGAACGCUGGCGGCGUGCCUAAUACAUGCAAGUCGAGCGAACGGACGAGAAGCUUGCUUCUCUGAUGUUAGCGGCGGACGGGUGAGUAACACGUGGAUAACCUACCUAUAAGACUGGGAUAACUUCGGGAACCCGAAGCUAAUCCGGGAUAAUAUUUUGAACCGCAUGGUUAAAAGUUGAAAGAGGUUCUUGCUGUACCUAAUAAAUGAAUCCGCGCUGCAUUAGCUAGUUGGUAAGGUAACGGCUUACCAAGGCAACGAUGCAUAGCCGACCUGAGAGGGUGAUCGGCCACACUGGAACUGAGACACGGUCCAGACUCCUACGGGAGGCAGCAGUAGGGAAUCUUCCGCAAUGGGCGAAAGCCUGACGGAGCAACGCCGCGUGAGUGAUGAAGGUCUUCGGAUCGUAAAACUCUGUUAUUAGGGAAGAACAUAUGUGUAAGUAACUGUGCACAUCUUGACGGUACCUAAUCAGAAAGCCACGGCUAACUACGUG
rnacentral:rRNA from 1 species